rnacentral:tRNA from 1 species
CAAGAAAUAGCUUAAUGAGAAAGCAAUUUAUUUACAUUAAAAAGAUAUUACAUAAAUUUUCUUGA